UUUUCUACAAACCGGAUGGCAGCAGUGUGUAGGGCUGCUGCAGAGCUGCUGCUCGGUGCGCAGCGCCCGGACCUCAUCCAGAGCGCCGCUGCGCCUCGCCGGUGAUCCGUUCCGGUCCGGACUCCCUCACCUUUCCCGUCUGUCUGCUGCGGAGCUCCGCCUGCUGCAGACCGACCUGAAGGCGGCAGAGGAAACGGUCUGCUGCAGCCUGGGAUUUUUUUUCCUGGUUUAAAACCCUGUUCGCAGAUUAUCUGUAAAUCUGACGCGACGCGGGCGCUUCAUCCAGAAUAACAAACCCAGAGAGGGGCAAGUUGGGUCAGAAUUUUGGAUUUUAUUGGUUUGGAUAUCCUGUGAGGACGCUGUGAAGAAGCAAGGCUUCUCCGCGGGAUUACAUCCCUGGACGACCUUGUGUUUUUCCUGCUGUGGAUGGAGGAUUUUCCGGGAAUGGAGAGGAACGAGAUUGUUUUCCUGCAUGCAGUUAAAAUUCAGGAAAGCAUGAUCUCCACUCUCCAAAGGAGCAAGGCGUUCUGAUCAUCACAGCUUGGCUCUCAGAGAUGGAUAACAGUGGAUGACAGGAAC